UUCCAGUCAGUCAAAUUAAGCUCCAACUUGUAAGGAACUUAUUGUAAUUUUUUUUUUUUGUCAGCAAGGUUUUAAGAAAAAACGGAAGAUUAAAUGGAGUUCCAGUACUCAUUGAUAUGCUUUUCACUCGUAUGGAAGUUCUACUAUUCAAGCUAAAUAUAGCUUUUAAGCUAUUAAAAUUAGAAUUUAAGAUAUGUCUAUAAAUGGUGUGUGAAAAGCACCUUACUAGACUUAUCUUUUUGCGGAGGUCUUGAACUUCCUUAACCAGAUUGGGAAAUAGAUAUCAUCCAAGGAGGUAAAGCAAGCCACGACAGCGACGGCAACGAGAACGUUGCGAAACAAAAGAUCUGAUGAGCAGAACAAUAAAGCAGCACAUGUUUUUUAAAACUUUUUACAUCUCUUAGCCUCCCGUACAGAACAAAAGCGUGAAAUCACCAUCAUUUACGUCCUCUUAGCGCGCGAUGGCCACAGCAGUUGAAUCACGCGUCAGCAAUUUGGUCACGUUUUCGCAAAUUUGAACUCAACCCUACAUCACAUGCUAUGCAGUAGGGAAGGUUCGUCAGAAACGGUAAAGGCAUCGAGCUACUGGCGAAAUUCGAUUCUUCAGGAAAAAGAAAGUUCGUAUUUUCGGUAAGAUUUUAAACUCCCUAAUAUUACGAGGCCGACCUAAACAUUCCCAGGUAUCAGUCACAUACAUUUCACAUAAUCACGGGAGAGUCCAAACUUCAAUCAUGCGGAAACUUCAGCCUUCAUUUCCCUCAGCAUUACCGACUCACCUUCGGAUUACAACUUCCCUUUCUUGUGGACAGAAACACUAAAACUCGAAAACUACUCUUUCAAAUCACUUGUCAAGAAACGAACAUCAAGACUCAGUUGACUCCGCAUCAGGCCGGCGGAAAUUUCAGGCAGGUUAGAGAAAUACUACUUAGUUUAGACGAAAAUCAUACGCUUUAUUGUGAGCUCUGUUAUGUUUUGAUAUGUUCGCUAUAAUACGCAUGGUGUAAGUUAAAAUUGGUGUGUUUUGUUAUCGGUUGCGGUAUCAUUGUAUCAGAGUCCUUCUCUUGGGUAAGGAGCUCAACGAGGCAGUGUUUUAUGUCACAUAGGAAAGAAACCUGAAUCCCUUUGAAGUUCAAGUUCCAUGAAUGCAAAAAUAAAUGCAAGACUUUCGAUCGACGGUCCCAUCGAAAAAGAAAAGGGGAACCCCCUUCUGCAGACGUCAUAAUACAGUUCGUACUUUCUCUUUCCUUAAACGGCAUAAACAGCAUCAUAGUGAAAUAAUAUGACGCCGGUCAUAUUAUUUCACUAUAAGAUACGGUAUGGAGAAAUAGUUUUCUAUAGCUUUCUUACGUCCUUUUAACACGAGCUCAGAGAAUAGCAGUGGUUAAAAAUACCUGUUUGUCUCUAAGAGUAAACAGCAAUGUCAAGAUGCACUUGAAUAUUAGCGGCAAAUCGCUACGCAUCGCCAUUUCCUCAGCUUUUGCGACGUUCAUCAACCAUUGACUGUGAAAAAAAGGUCUUGCUUAAGAGGGAUGGACAAUUUUCAAGAGUGAUAAAAGGUUUUGGUUGACGUCGAUUUCAAGCUUUGAGGAGUUGUUGCGGCUGAAUUGGAACGUCGCAUCGUUAUUGAAGUAUUAAACUUGAUGAUGAAGGGAGGCAAGUGAUAGAAGUUGGAUAAAGAAUUUUCAUUCAGAGGAAAACUGUGGGCACUUUACUGACUCAUUUCAUUGGCUGAACUAUGGUUGUCACAAUCGACGCAAUUGUGGAUACUGAUAUGGAAUUCGUAAACAGAGUAGACGAAAGGCUUAAUUGCCCGAUCUGUAAGAAGGUUUUCGAUGAGCCCUGGCAGACAUCGUGUGGACAUCGAUUUUGUAGGCAUUGUCUGGAACGUCUUUUAGGGUAGGUCGAAAUUCAUCAUUUACUACUAAAUUCUUAUCCACUCCUGCUUUCCGCCUGAAACGAAAUUGCUUCAGAAAAAAUUGAAAUCUGCUUUAUUUACAUUUCUAUUUGGCGACUGAAAGUGUCCACUUACGGGUGUAAAUGAAACCACUAGCUAUUUCCUAGUUACGUCCGACACUUUUUCCGCCUCGGAU
rnacentral:lncRNA from 1 species